UACAGAGGGGGGCAAGCGUUGUUCGGAAUUACUGGGCGUAAAGGGCGCGUAGGCGGCCCGCUAAGUCGAACGUGAAAUCUCCGGGCUCAACCCGGAAACUGCCAUUGAUACUAUUAGUCUUGAAUAUUAUUGAGGUAGGCGGAACGGGUCAUGUAGCGGUGAAAUGCAUAGAUAUGACCCGGAACACCGAUUGCGAAGGCAGCCUACUAAGCAAUUAUUGACGCUGAGGCACGAAAGCGUGGGGAAUCAAACAGG
rnacentral:rRNA from 1 species